rnacentral:tRNA from 1 species
UCCUCAGUGGCUCAGAUGGUAAAGCAUCUGCCUACAAUGCAGGAGAUCCAGGUUCAAACCCUGGGUCUGGAA